GCUCUCGUGUCUCGCUCCGCGUCCCAAGCGACCCUCAAAGGCUCAUAGCCCAGACCUCCACCGGCCCAACUCGAUCUAGUCCAGGCCCAGAGAAAAUCACUUUGCUUCCCUACCAGCUCCUCCUUCUCCUAAGCGAAGGCGGAAGCGCCGGACGUUGUUUCUCUUCUUACUUCUCCACUGCCGUAGCCGUUGCCCCGAACGUAACGGCCACAACCCCACCCCGCACUCACACUCACUCACUCUCGCUCUCUCUCCCUCAGACACACAGACAUACACGCCCUCACUGAGAGUGCGCAGGCGCAGCUUCCGCUCGGCCCUCUGGGAAUUAGAGUCUUCCAGACUGUCUUCCGACCAUCGAGUACUAGUAGGUUUGGUCCACUCAGAACUACAAAUACCGUGAGGCCAAGCGUUUCAGCGCCCGCCAAAAAGAGGAAGAGGAAGGCUACGGGAACGGGAGCAAAGAGGAAGACGGUGACUUGCGUGGCCUGCCGGGAGUUGUAGUUUUCACUAGAUCUACUUUGUCGUCUUUCCCCACUCUGUGGCCCAAGCAAAAAAGCCUAAGAGACCACAGCUCCCAGGAUGCCUCGCGGUGCGACCCGCUCCACUUCCCCCUUAGACGGAGGGGAGGAUAUAGGGAAGAUUCGUGAAAACAGUUAAAGGGUCUGUCGAAGCCGAGGGUCUGAACUUGACGACUGCUAGAAGGGGAGGGCGUGGAAAGGCUCUCAGUGAAGAAGGACUUCUCAGAGCCUUUCUAUGCUAAUGUCAUUGGUGACUUUCCAGAGAACACCCAUGAUCGGUCCAGGAAGUCUGGGAAGAGGAAGCACUUAAGAGUGUCAAGAAUCUGAUUAAGGCAGAAGACACUAAGAUAUGUUCUCUAAUUAUGUUUACUUGUUAUUGUCUGUUUGUUUCUUUGGUUAGUUGGUUUUUUACUCCUUUCUUCCAUGACUGAGACCUGGACAGUACCCCCAAAAGGGUCUCUGCAGCAAUCCACUCCAGCCACCCCAAGAUCAUGGGUAUGCCUAUGCCCAGUGCACUUGGGGGUCUCUAGAGGCAAACCUAGAACCUUUCCACGUGAGUCAGCCUUGCAGAGCAUCGCAUUUACUGCUACACUAUCAUCCAACUUCCUAUAUUUGCUUGUUUUGCACAUUGUUUUGUGUGUAUUUUGUGGUGAUAUAGAGAUCCUGACAGAGAUAAUAGUGGUAUUAGUGCCCUGAGCCACCCAUUACACUAUUAUUGUUAUGUAGCAUUUCCACACUUCUUUGCUUACAAAACUAUUUUGAAGCUGUUAUCAGGGGCAUACACUUUAGGAAAAACCAAUACAGACAAAUAGUGCUUCUUGUUAUGGUUUCUGUUUUUAUCAGUGUGCUUGAAAAGGUUCUCUUCUUCCCCAAGAUCAGCUAAUGCUUGCCCAUAUUUUCUUGUAAUUUGUGUAUUUUUUUUCCACUUACUAUUUUAAUUCAGUUGAAAUGUAUUUUUAUAUGACAUGUAAGGGAGAGAUUCAACAUAUUUCGUUAUUAUUUUUUCAGUUGCCUGAGGUACAUUUGUUCACCAGAGCGAGAGAGAAAAAAAAAAGGGAGAAAGCACCCUCCAAUUGGACAUGGUCACACUGCAAUCCCUGUUCUAUUUCUUCAUCCUGUCUAGAUUUGGGACAUGCAGCCAGUCCUGGAUCCUGAGCAAGCACAUGCCAAGCACACACCGGAAGGUCCCUGGAUUUGAACUGGGAAGCUUCUCAUGUGGGACUGCCUCACUGCACUGUUUUAUUGUUAUACCAUUGUCCAGACCACUACAUUUUCAAAUAUAAUUCAAGUAAGUAGGUCAAGAAAAGGUCAAGAGUAGAAGCAGGGUCUCAGCUGGGGUAGCACGGGUUGGCUGAUGCUUGCUGCUUGGCAGGAUGAGAUCAUAUGGGACAUAUGGGAGGACAGUUCAGUUCCCUGCCCACCUUAAAAGCCAGGCCAUGAACCUGUAGCCCAGUUACUCUGGAGGCUGAAGCAAGAGAAUUGCAACACAGAGAGAUGCUAACUUUAAGAAAUGAAAGCAUGAAUAUGAGUGGGAUACAAUUUAGGGUAGACUUAGGAAUCUGAAGAUUUGUGUGAUCUCAGAGCAUGUUUCUGGCUUGAAAAGGACGUAAAUAAAAAUACUCCAGCAAAUAGAGUUAAACCAACUUCAUCUGUGAGAAAUCAUUUACACGGUUCAUAAUGAUCAUCAUGAAUUUCUCAGAGGUCUGGCAGGUUUAGAGUUAUAAUCAUAACUCCUUCCUCUUAUUAAAGUUUUAUGGGUGGGACUGGCAGGUGCCAUGGUGGUUAAGGGCAGUGGACUCCCACAUGGCUGACUGCUGUUUGAGUCCCAGACCUGGUGGCUUACUUUCUCACUUUCUCUCUCUCUCACUCAUUCUG